rnacentral:rRNA from 1 species
GACGAACGCUGGCGGCGUGCUUAACACAUGCAAGUCGAGCGGUAAGGCCCUUUCGGGGGUACGACGAGCGGCGAACGGGUGAGUAACACGUGGGUGACCUGCCCUCAGCUCUGGGAUAAGCCCGGGAAACUGGGUCUAAUACCGGAUAUGACUCCACGGUGCAUGUCGUGGGGUGGAAAGCCUUGUGCGGCUGAGGAUGGGCCCGCGGCCUAUCAGCUUGUUGGUGGGGUGAUGGCCACCAAGGCGACGACGGGUAGCCGGCCUGAGAGGGCGACCGGCCGACACUGGGACUGAGACACGGCCCAGACUCCUACGGGAGGCAGCAGUGGGGAAUCUUGCGCAAUGGGCGAAAGCCUGACGCAGCGACGCCGCGUGAGGGAUGACGGCC